CUUGGGAGUGCUAGCUGUGGAAGAUCCUGUAUGGCCAGCUAUAUCUUGGGAGUGCUAGCUGUGGAAGAUCCUGUAUGGCCAGCUAUAUCUUGGCCGGUGGUCUGUAGGGGGGCAGCUAAAAAACGUGGCUGAAGAAGAGAAACAUCAAACCCACAGAAAGAGAGGAUGCUGCUGCCGACCGUUCCACCUGGAGGAGCUCCGGAGGGUGUACAGAGGGGAGCUCCGGAGAGACAGAACCAUGCCUGCCCCCGCCAACACAGACAUAUGCCCCACCUGCAAUAAAAUUUGGAUCUCCGAUUGGACUCUACACUCACUAAAGAAUUCACCAUUAACUCAGAGGUUGAAGUCCUCAUCGGAUACGAUGGACUACCAUAAGCAAGCCCACAACAAACCUUAACCAAUACAGGAGAAACUCAAAACUGACCUUAGAUCAGCACUCGGAGACAUCACUAGAGUCAAAGCUCUGACCCGGUGACUGGGGACUGCUGAGUGUCAGUGUGACCAAGACCAAAAAUGAGCUUCCUGUGUCUGUAAGUGGAGCUAAAAUAGGUCUCUAUCUCUUCAACCUAAUAUGGAGUUUUCACUUGAUUCUUUGUUUAAAAGAAAAGAAAGCAUCUUUAAAUGUUUUUGUCGACUUUAGUCUUUCCAGGGACAGGGUUCUCUUCUUUCAAUUUGAUCAUUUUCUCUGUUUUAUACUGUCACUGUAGUUCGGAUGCAGUCCAGCCACUAAAGUGCCUUUUUAAUAUGGAAUGCUGUUCUACUCACAAUAACCUGCUGUAGAUGAUUAUGCAAAUCCUCACUCACUAUUGGUGAGUUGGUGCUUCUGCACACUUAUGUCAUUCUUAAUGUGGUCUAUAUAGAAGAUCACUGGUGGGGUGUUGAGGUGUGCAUCCCAAAUGGAAACCUAUUGUCUAUAUAGUGCUAUUUAUGGAAUAGGGUGCACUUGAUAUGGAGUAGGGUGUCAUGUGGGAUACAGUCAAGGGUUGUAACUAGGGGGAUUUAACUUGUUCUUAAUGUCAAGCACUCUACUGUAAGAGUAUGAUUAUGUCCAAUCACAAUCCAGAUUGUUUUAAUACUCCUCAACCAUUGGCUGACAGUACGUAUGAGAUAAGGCCUUCUGGAACUUCAUAACACUGCGUGUUAAAGCCUGUAUGUUGCCCGUUUAUGAUCAGUCAUUACUGUAAAAUAAGAUGUAUACUGUAUAUCAGUAAAGAAUAGGGCCGUACUAUCUAUGAAGAUGAAUAAUAAACAGUGAGACUGUUAUACUAUGUGUGUGUGUGUUUUGGAUUGCAGAGGCUGGUGGGAGGAGCUAAAGGAACGGAGUCAAACCUCUUUUCCAUAUAUUUGUGUUUGAGACCGUUCUAUUGAUUCCAUUUCAGCCAUUACAAUGAUCCUCCUACAGCUCCUCCCACCAGCCGCCUCUGAUUGGGUGUUCUAGUGAGGGGGUGGGCGCGACCGACCAAAAGGUUUGGGUGCAUUCCAGCGGCUCAUCUUUGAUGGUCACCGCCUUCCAAAGUGUGUUCCAUUAUAGGGCUAAACCAUGUGAUCAAAAGUCAUGAAGUUUUGACUUCAGUUGACUGCAAGUUUCUGCAGUUGCUCUUCAAGUUAAUCAGCCAGCGCCUGCAUUGUGGGAGUCUGUAUUGCCAACCAAUCAUUAGGGUGUAUUUGUUUGACCCACGAGAACGUGACCAAAGACCUGACUGAAACCAGAACUAACUUUGCCUUGAUUCAUGUAUACAGUAGAUAUGUACAAAUGUGAUAUUUGAGGCUCUCAUCAGUUGAUAGUUUAAUGUUCGUUCGUUCUUUUCUAAUUAUUUUUUUAUAUAUAUAUAAAUAAAUAAAAUUACAAAUUCAAGGUUAACUUUUUUUUCUCCAUUUUGC
ensembl:lncRNA